UUCCCCUAGUAACUGCGAGUGAAGCGGGAAGAGCUCAAAUUUGAAAUCUGGCGGUUCUUGACCGUCCGAGUUGUAAUCUAGAGAAGUGCUACCUGUGCUGGACCGUGUACAAGUCUCCUGGAAUGGAAGCAUCACAGAGGGUGAGAAUCCCGUCUUUGACACGGACUGCCUGCACGUUGUGGUGUGCUCUCGAAGAGUCGAGUUGUUUGGGAAUGCAGCUCAAAAUGGGUGGUAAAUGCCAUCUAAAGCUAAAUAUUGGCGAGAGACCGAUAGCGAACAAGUACCGUGAGGGAAAGAUGAAAAGAACUUUGGAAAGAGAGUUAAACAGUACGUGAAAUUGCUGAAAGGGAAACGCUUGAAGUCAGUCGCGUCGGCAUUGAAAUCAGCCUUGCUUUUGCUUGGUGUACUUUCUUGUUGAUGGGUCAGCAUCAAUUUCGACCGUCGGAUAAAGUCGUUCAGGAAUGUGGCAUCUUCGGAUGUGUUAUAGCCUGGCGUCGCAUACGGUGGUUGGGAUUGAGGAACUCAGCACGCCGCAAGGCCGGGUCUCUUGACCACGUCCGUGCUUAGGAUGCUGGCAUAAUGGCUUUAAUCGACCCGUCUUGAAACACGGACCAAGGAGUCUAACAUGCCUGCGAGUGUUUGGGUGGAAAACCCAUGCGCGAAAUGAAAGUGAAAGUUGAGAUCCCUCCACAGGGGGGGAGCAUUGACGCCCGGACCAGACCUUUUGCGAAGGAUCCGCGGUAGAGCAUGUGUGUUGGGACCCGAAAGAUGGUGAACUAUGCCUGAAUAGGGUGAAGCCAGAGGAAACUCUGGUGGAGGCUCGUAGCGAUUCUGACGUGCAAAUCGAUCGUCAAAUUUGGGUAUAGGGGCGAAAGACU
rnacentral:rRNA from 1 species